GGCCGNAGCAAUACGGCAGCGGCAGACGGGAGAGUAUCUUUUCGGAACGCGCCCUUGGAAACGGAAUAACUCAGGGAAACUUGGGCUAAUACCGGAUACGCCCUUACGGGGAAAGAUUUAUUGCCGAAGGAACGGCCCGCGUCCGAUUAGCUUGUUGGUGAGGUAAUGGCUCACCAAGGCGACGAUCGGUAGCCGGUCUGAGAGGAUGACCAGCCUCACUGGGACUGAGACACGGCCCAGACUCCUACGGGAGGCAUCUGUGGG
rnacentral:rRNA from 1 species